rnacentral:rRNA from 1 species
AAUCAACGCUGGCGGCGUGCCUCAGACAUGCAAGUCGAACGAGAACCUCCCUUCGGGGAGGGGACAGUGGCGCACGGGUGAGUAACACGUGGGUAAUUUACCUUUGGGUGGGGAACAACAGCCGGAAACGGCUGCUAAUACCGCAUAAUGCAGCGGCUCGACAUCGAGACAGUUGUUAAAGCGGGGGAUCGCAAGACCUCGCGCCUGAAGAGAAGCCUGCGGCGGAUUAGCAGUUGGUAGGGUAAUGGCCUACCAAGGCGACGAUCUGUAACCGGCCUGAGAGGGCGGUCGGUCACACUGACACUGACAUACGGGUCAGACUCCUACGGGAGGCAGCAGUCGGGAAUUUUGGGCAAUGGGCGAAAGCCUGACCCAGCAACGCCGCGUGAAGGAUGAAGCUUUUCGGAGU